AGCAGCAUGUUCAUCCAAACAGGGGAUCAAAGAGUACAAGUCAAGUACAAUGGAAUGUGUGAUGUUUUUAAUCAAACAGUUCAACAUAAUGGUUUUAAAGGAUUGUGGAGGGGGCUUUCAGUGAAUCUUAUCAAGAUUGUACCCAGCAUAGUCCUAACAUAUCUAGUAUAUGAACAAUGCAAAAGGGUUUUCUUAUAUCAGAAUGGAUAUACAAUGUCCCCAUUUGAUGCCAUUCCCAGAGAGGAUGUUGAUCAAAGUCUGUUACCACAUGAAGUCAAAACAAAUCAAUAGUGGACUUCUCAAUAAGCAUGUAAUCCGUGACGUUUCAUGGGAAUGUCAAGCACUCUAGAUGUGAUUGACUAAUUAUUGUCUAGUCUCUGGAGGCAUACAUGUAGCAAGUAUGUCCUUUGAGAUAACAGAAAGGAAGACUUUAAAGAACCUUUUGUUGGGUCAUAUAUUUGUACUCAAAGACAUGUAGUAGCGGGUUCACUCUUUUGAGCAAUAUGUGUACUUUUUCAAGCAAAAAGAGUUAUAGAAUAUUAUUUCUAAUUCAACAAAGUUUUCUCUGCUMUCAUUGGUGUUGAGAUGGGUUCCAGUAUYAGUGCAUGGAGCCCACUUCAGCAAAUUUUAUUGUUGAAUGAUAAAAACAGAGUGUAGUUGAAUAGAGGGCAUUGUGUUUUUGAUUGUUGACCUUGGGCAUUCUUUGAAACUUUACAGUUGUMCUCAAAAUUCCAGUUUCUGUAAGCAAUAAUGGCCUCUUUUCAACUACUCUUUUGUUUAAAACAGUGAGACAUUAUUGACAAUUGUCAAUGAUACACAGGCAGGGUAAUUCAAAUACAUAUUUAUUUUAUGCCACAUCAAGAAAAUGUUAUUUACAAAUAAACAAAACAUUUACAUUUAAUUAAACUGAUGACAACGGAUGUUUUACUGUCAUCACAACUACUCUAAACAGCCAACACUUCAUGUACAGAGAAUAAUUAUUCUAAAAUAUUUCAUUGUUAAAAAGGACUUUUCAAGGAAAUAACUACAUGUGUUUAUUGUUUGCAAUUUGUUUGAUUCUUCUAUAUGCAGAAAACAAUAUACAUAAUAAUUGUGCACCAUUACAAAUCUUAACUUCAUAAUAAUUUGAAAAAUAAACGAACUAUGGCAGGAA